AGACCGACCGCGCAUCUGAGCGUUGGCCUGUGCGGUCACCCAUCUGCCUGUUUUUCUACUUUUGGAUGUAGCCUGAUUUGGUGGGCUCCAGGCGAAUUCUUGAGUUCCUUCUGAACUUCGACAUGGCACGGCUGCACUAUUGGACUAUGGCAAGCUGGUGUCGUCUGGUGGAGCUUCCUACAGGGACUGCUGCUGCUUCGUGCCCCAUCGUUGGUUGAAUGCACCAAAAUCCCGCAACGAGCAUUUAUAUAGAAUAAAAUAAUAAUUUCCUCAUUUCA